UUCCCUGCAAUUUCCAAGGAUUGCUUUGCAGCUCUUGAAAAGUUGAAUGUUGAGUUAGGUACCAAGUCGGUGCUCUUGGGAAAUGGAUUGACGCCAUCAGCGGCUGAUGUAGCUGUGUUUUCAGCUGUGCAUUCUUCAGUGCUUGGCCUCUCAGAUUCAGACAAGGAGAAAG